rnacentral:lncRNA from 1 species
AAGGGCUAAGUCCUAAGGAAAGCAAAAGAUGAGGGAUAAAGAAAUAAAACCACAAUGGAGUCCCUCUCUUGAGAUCAUAUAGAUGAUCCAAGUAGCUUCCAUCUUUUGGAAUAAGCAACCACAAAGUAUAAGCAAUCAAACAAGUCUCAUAAGAGACCCUCAAUGUAUCUUGUAUCUUCCCUUUGGAUGAACAUGGUAAUGAUCCUCCAAUUAAGCUCAUAGAGUCCCUAGUCACAAAAGCAC